UCUCCUGUAGCUCAGUGGAAGAGCGUCUGAUCGGUGUACGGAAGGUCAUAGGUUCGACUCCUGUUUGGAGAA
rnacentral:tRNA from 1 species